ACCAAAAAUGAUAAGCUGUGUUUUCCAUCACAUGAAUUCUCAGUGUUUGACUCUCCUGACUCUGUUGUUAACUCCAAAGAAUUGGCACUGAACACAAUCUCAUUACAGGUUCUGGUGAACUAAGGAAUCAAGAUCACUGCUCUGGUUGUACCAGAUAUUUUCACUGUAGGCAUCCAACAACUAAACUUGUACACAAAAAUUCUUAGUGUUUCUCUGAGUCACUACAUUUCAAGAAUUUCUCAUCUGAUGUUGUAGCCUUCAUGCUUAGUUCUUAAAAUAUUACUUGGUUGCAAGCAAUAGACAAAUAGCACCAUUCUGCACCCCCUGCACUCCCUUCUUCACCAGCAGGAAGAAAGAAACAUUUCUUUCUGUCUUCAGAGUUAGAUCUAGAGACAUGUUAUGAACAUUUUUUGUCUACAGUUGUGUUUAUCUAAGGUGAUUUCAAUGAUAAGAGCUUCUGUUCAGUGGGAAACAGUUCCAGAUUCCAGAAAAUAAAUCAAGAAGGAAAAUAAAAAGCCCCUAACAGCAGCAACAACAAAAACCCAUCAAAACCUAGAAAGCUGACAGUCUAGAAACCAUUGUACUGAUUACCACAACUUGACCAGGUGGGAUCUCCAAGAGCACCUCUGGGACAGCUCAAAACGCCUCAAUUUACAGAACUGACUUUGUGCACUUAUGAAAGGAGGUUGCUACACAUUUAUUUGUGUCUCAGCCCUUCCAGAGCUGCAGCAGCCCCAGCAAUGUCCAUGAACACCUGCCACUUUCACACUCUGGAGAGAAAGUACCGAGGAUGCUGCGAGGCCUUGAAUGGGAAGAGUGAUUUUGUAACUCCAGGCCAAACAGCUGUGUUACCCCAGCACUGCCAUUUAGUCAGCAUUUAUCUUAUUUUCUUACAUGAAAGCAAUGCUUAGGAUCUAAAUAGAAUUCUUCAUCUCCAAAGAGUUAAACAAACCUUGGUAAUUAAUCCAUACAGAAUCCUGCAAAGAUGCUCUCUUUUCAAAUGCAAAGACUCUAUAGGUCUGCUUAAACCAAAGUAUAAAGCAAACAUAAGUGGAGAUCUCUGUUGAGCUCUGAAGACUGGAUCACUGACAACAGCAACAGUUUUAUCUCUCUUCUAUUAUACAUCUUUUCCAAGGUUUAAAAAUAAGACCUUUUUUUUGAAUGUUAUUUUAAGAAAUAUUUAGGCUAAAAGAUAUAAGGAUAUAAGGUAAAAUUAUAAAAGUUAAUAAAAGAUGAAAUUAGUAACAUUUUUUCUUUAAAUCACCUUGUAACAUAAUAUACUCACGUGUUUUUUCUUUGAAGGCAAAGUUUUAGGGAUUUUAAAAAUAUCUAAUAAUAAAUUUUCUCAAAUAUGCUUGCUGCUUCCACAAAUCACUAAUUUAAAUAACUUAGUAGAAAGCUCAUUGUGGUGCGUGGCCUGCUGCACUACUCUCCCUAAGUUAAGGUACAUCUUAAAGCAUCAUGAAUCUUAUGCAAUGACACAAGAUGAACCUUUAUUCUGAAUUUUGAAGAAUCUGCUUGACAAGGCAGCUGUCUAACAGCUGUAGGAAAGAAAAAAAUACAGAUGAAGGCUGUACCCUGCCUUCUGCCUCUCCCAGCAAUUUACUACUCUGGUAAGCAUUUUGUGCUUAAACACAAUUUCCUAAAAGCUGUUUGAGAGGUUUUCUGAGCCUUCAGAAGUUUUUGUGGUUUUGUUAGGGAAAGGUGGAGUCACUUAUUUGGGUUGGUAUUCACCUGCUUGUGCAGACAAACCCCUCUUCUGUGUCUACAGGAGGUGGAACUCUGUGUGGUGCUGAAAACUGUCUUUUGAAGAAUUAAUAUUAAGAUUUAACAUGCACAAAUUUCUCAUGAUACUUACUUUCCACAGAAAAUCAUAGCAAAGCACCAAGAUUAGAUUUUCUGAUUAUUUAUAUCAGAUGGUGUCUGCAGUGGCUGAGGUACUGUUUGAGAAACAAAUGGCUCAGGACAUAUGGCAUUAAGUGACUUUUGGCAAACCUAUAGAGCAAGGCAUAUGGCAUAUGAUAACCUUGAAGGAAGAAAUGUCUCCUUGUAUCUUGUUAAAUCAUAUGAUAAAUUGAUCUCUGAAGCUAUUUCUUGACAGAAACUUGAAAAACAACAUUCUUUAGAUAGUAUAAGUUGGAGGGGUUUUG